rnacentral:lncRNA from 1 species
AUGUUGUCUCCCCUCCAGACUCUUCCUCCUAUCUGUGCCAGUAGCAGCUGUGAAACAGUGGGCACUUUAUGCACUAAGCUAGCGAGGGCGGAGCGGCGGGCACGGCGAGAAACGUCUACAGUACAGAGGCAGCCCGAGCCGCCCCAACCUGCUCUGUUGCAUCUUGGGCUCACAGCUCACUCCUAUGGGCUUCACCAUUAUCUCACACACUUUCCUGACCGGCUCGAUAAGCUUCACAGGUGCCUGCAGCCAGUCAAGCCCGGGAAGCCUGAAACCACUUCUUCACGCACAUCCCUCCCUGCUAGGCUGCUCGCACCAACACAUGGCCCUGAGAAAGACGUCCACCAACACAUACUCACCACUUUGCUAUGGGACAUACUCGAUGAUUCCACCUUUACCCAGUCUCUGAUUACUUUGGCCUCCAAGCCCAUCACCUACCAGCCAACAGAAGCAUCUCCCUCUAAUCGCCCCCCUAUCUGUCCGACAUCGCCUCCCUCCUCCCAACCUCAAGUUCCACCGGCCGGGACGAAGGCUGGACUGAGUGAAGAGCACAGCCAAGUGGACAGGCAGGGGACUGCAGAGUGUUCGCUCCAAACACAGGACAGGCUACACACUGAACGUCUGCCUGCUGACAUGAGUGAAGAUGUUUUGCUGAGCACCCUCCAAAACCUGAUGAUGGAACUCGUCAGAGGAGAGCUGGACCCACGCAUCGUCGCCGUGCCACCCGUCUCUAUCAGAAGCAGGAGGAUGUCCAGAGCCAUGGCUGAGGAGGAGAAAAGCAAAAAGGAUACAACGGGGACUUGA